rnacentral:rRNA from 1 species
CAGUCGCCACGGUAAGACGAACCGUGCGAACGUUAUUCGGAAUCACUGGGCUUAAAGCGCGUGUAGGCGGAUUGGUGCGUCGGUGCCUGAAAUCCCCCGGCUCAACCGGGGAACGCGGCCCGAAACGACCAGUCUGGAGGGACGUAGGGGGAACUGGAACUUCCGGUGGAGCGGUGAAAUGCGUUGAGAUCGGAAGGAACGCCCGUGGCGAAAGCGAGUUCCUGGACGUCUGCUGACGCUGAGACGCGAAAGCUAGGGGAGCGAACGGGAUUAGAUACCCGUGUAGUGCCUGUCUCUUAUA